AUACGGGGGGUGCGAGCGUUGUCCGGAAUCAUUGGGCGUAAAGAGUUCGUAGGUGGUAUGUUAAGUCUGGUGUUAAAGGCGGAGGCUCAACUUCCGUGUGGCACCGGAUACUGGCAGACUGGAAUGCGGUAGAGGUAAAGGGAAUUCCCGGUGUAGCGGUGAAAUGCGUAGAUAUCGGGAGGAACAUCGGUGGCGUAAGCGCUUUACUGGGCCGUAAUUGACACUGAGGAACGAAAGCCGGGGUAGC
rnacentral:rRNA from 1 species